AGCUCUCCAUAAUAAUUCCAUUAGUCAAAUUGCAGACUACGCAUUUAGAAGUUUAGUCAAUUUAAAAACAUUAUGGUUGCACUGCAACGAACUUACAGCACUAAACAGCGCCAUGUUUAUUGGACUUGAACAACUCGAAUACUUAGCGCUCGGGGAUAAUUUAAUAGGCUCGAUAGCUGGGCACACCUUUCG